rnacentral:lncRNA from 1 species
AGGUGAGAUCGCAAUAAGAAAAUCAGCAGUUGUUCCUCUCCCAAUGGCGCACUUGAUUUUUCUCUCUCUCACACCUGCUCUAUUCCAUCAAGAAUCACUGACCGAUCUCCUUCAACAGUUGCCAUCCACCGUCGGAGCGUGCAAAGCCGAGCGGCCGUGGUCAUCUUGUCUACCUUCGGCUGUAAACGCUUUCAACAAUCAACACCCAGCCUUGUCCUCCACUGUGGUCGUUCAUGCUGAAGCAAGGUGAUGCCCCUGAAGCAUCGUCGAGACACCUGCCGCUGCCACUGGCUAACUAGAAACAACACGUCCAGCAAUCUUUUCUCUAAUGAAGCCGAAGAAAGCCGG